rnacentral:rRNA from 1 species
AUUGAACGCUGGCGGCAGGCCUAACACAUGCAAGUCGAGCGGAAGAAGGGAGCUUGCUCCUGGAUUCAGCGGCGGACGGGUGAGUAAUGCCUAGGAAUCUGCCUGGUAGUGGGGGAUAACGUCCGGAAACGGGCGCUAAUACCGCAUACGUCCUGAGGGAGAAAGUGGGGGAUCUUCGGACCUCACGCUAUCAGAUGAGCCUAGGUCGGAUUAGCUAGUUGGUGGGGUAAAGGCCUACCAAGGCGACGAUCCGUAACUGGUCUGAGAGGAUGAUCAGUCACACUGGAACUGAGACACGGUCCAGACUCCUACGGGAGGCAGCAGUGGGGAAUAUUGGACAAUGGGCGAAAGCCUGAUCCAGCCAUGCCGCGUGUGUGAAGAAGGUCUUCGGAUUGUAAAGCACUUUUAGUUGGGAGGAAGAGCAGUAAGUUAAUACCUUGCUGUUUUGACGUUACCAACAGAAUAAGCACCGGCUAACUUCGUG